rnacentral:rRNA from 1 species
AAACCAACAGGGAUUGCCUCAGUAACGGCGAGUGAAGCGGCAACAGCUCAAAUUUGAAAUCUGGCCCUAGGCCCGAGUUGUAAUUUGCAGAGGAUGCUUUUGGUGCGGUGCCUUCCAAGUUCCCUAGAACGGGACGCCAGAGAGGGUGAGAGCCCCGUACAGUUGGACACCAAGCCUUUGUAAAGCUCCUUCGACGAGUCGAGUAGUUUGGGAAUGCUGCUCAAAAUGGGAGGUAUAUUUCUUCUAAAGCUAAAUACCGGCCAGAGACCGAUAGCGCACAAGUAGAGUGAUCGAAAGAUGAAAAGCACUUUGAAAAGAGGGUUAAACAGCACGUGAAAUUGUUAAAAGGGAAGCGCUUGUGACCAGACUUGCGUCCGGUGAAUCACCCAGCUCUCGCGGCUGGGGCACUUCGCCGGCUCAGGCCAGCAUCAGCUCGCUGUCGGGGACAAAAGCUUCGGGAACGUAGCUCUCUUCGGGGAGUGUUAUAGCCUGUUGCACAAUACCCUUCGGCGGGCUGAGGUACGCGCUCCGCAAGGAUGCUGGCAUAAUGGUCAUCAGCGAC